rnacentral:rRNA from 1 species
CCUACGGGUGGCAGCAGUGGGGAAUAUUGGGCAAUGGGCGCAAGCCUGACCCAGCAACGCCGCGUGAAGGAAGAAGGCUUUCGGGUUGUAAACUUCUUUUCUCAGGGACGAAGCAAGUGACGGUACCUGAGGAAUAAGCCACGGCUAACUACGUGCCAGCAGCCGCUGUAAUACGGAGGUGGCAAGCGUUAUCCGGAUUGACUGGGUGUACAGGGAGUGUAGGCGGGAAAGCAAGUCAGAAGUGAAAACCAUGGGCUAAACCUGUGGCCUGCAUUGGAAACUGUUUUGCUUGAGUACUGGAGAGGCAGACGGAAUUCCUAGUGUAGCGGUGAAAUGCGUAGAUAUUAGGAGGAACACCAGUGGCGAAGGCGGUCUGCUGGACAGCAACUGACGCUGAGGCGCGAAAGCGUGGGGAGCAAACAGGAUUAGAUACCCGAGUAGUC